UUGGAAGAAGAAGCUACAGUUGGGCAGGCUGCAGCAAACAAAGAUUCUCUAACUUCUAGUUUUCCUGUUCAGGAUUCAGGUCCUAGUUGGAGCAGUGCUUCUAGUCUGGUGAUCGAUGGGGCCCAACUUCCUGAAAUAGCUAAUGGAUUGGGUGGACCAGCUGCGAAACCAUCUAUAGACUCUGAUCUUAUCUCUGAUUCUGCACUGAAACCUGCUGAAGCAGUGGGUGAUAAUGUCGACACACCUACAUCAGAUGUCAACCAACUGAAACCAGCUGAAGCAGUGGGUGAUCAUGUUGACACACCUACAUCAGAUGUCAACCAAGUGAAACUAGCUGAAGCAGUGGGUGAUCAUGUUGACACACCUACAUCAGAUGUCAACCAACUGAAACCAGCUGAAGCAGUGGGUGAUCAUGUUGACACACCUACAUCAGAUGUCAACCAACUGAAACCAGCUGAAGCAGUGGGUGAUCAUGUCGACACACCUGCAUCAGAUGUCAACCAACUCAAUAAUAAUUCCUCAUCUCAUCCAAUCUCAAACUUUUCCGAUUGGCGAGCAAUCUUUGGUGAGCCAAUAGAGUUCAGCACUUUAUAUGAGGAAUCCGUGUCAGACCUAUUAGCUGAAGUUGAUGCAAUGGAAUCUCAAACUCAAAGUGGUAUGGGUUCACCAACCUCCGCCAUG
rnacentral:lncRNA from 1 species